GGAAGGAUCAUUCACAAUGAGUGUUUUAUGGCACUCUUUAAAAAUCCAUAUCCACCUUGUGUGCAAUGUUUGUUGGGAGAGAGGCAACUCUUUCCCUUCACAAAUAUCAACCUAUAUCUUUAACAACAUUCGUCUGAUAACAUAUUAUGAAUAUACUUAAUUCAAAAUAUAACUUUCAACAACGGAUCUCUUGGCUCUCGCAUCGAUGAAGAACGCAGCGAAAUGCGAUACGUAAUGUGAAUUGCAGAAUUCAGUGAAUCAUCGAAUCUUUGAACGCAUAUUGCGCUCUUUGGUAUUCCGAAGAGCAUGCUUGUUUGAGUAUCAGUAAACACCUCAACCUCCUCUUGUUUUUUCAAAAGGAGGGUGGACUUGAGCUAUCCCAACAACCUUCACCGGUAGGCGGGCGGCUUGAAAUGCAGGUGCAGCUGGACUUUUAUCUGAGCUAAAAGCAUAUCUAUUUAGUCCUCGUCAAACAGGAUUAUUACUAUUGCUGCAGCUAACAUAAAGGAUAAUUGUCCUCAUUGCUGACUGAUGCAGGAUUUUACGACACUUUAUGUGUUGUUCAACUCGAUCUCAAAUCAAGUAAGACUACCCGCUGAACUUAAGCAUAUCAAUAAGCGGAGGAAAAGAAACUAACAAGGAUUCCCCUAGUAACGGCGAGUGAAGCGGGAUGAGCUCAAAUUUGAAAUCUGGCUGGUUUACUAGUCCGAGUUGUAAUUUAAAGAAGCGUUUUCGGUGGCAGCCUGGGUAUAAAUCCUUUGGAAUAGGGUAUCAUAGAGGGUGAGAAUCCCGUCUUUGACCUAGUGCAUGCUACUAUGUGAUACGUUUUCAAGAGUCGAGUUGUUUGGG
rnacentral:rRNA from 1 species